UACAGAGGGUGCAAGCGUUGUCCGGAAUUAUUGGGCGUAAAGAGCUCGUAGGCGGCUUGUCGCGUCGGCUGUGAAAACCCGCGGCUCAACUGUGGGCGGGCAGCUGAUACGGGCAGGCUGGAGUUCGGUAGGGGAGACUGGAAUUCCUGGUGUAGCGGUGAAAUGCGCAGAUAUCAGGAGGAACACCGGUGGCGAAGGCGGGUCUCUGGGCCGAUACUGACGCUGAGGAGCGAAAGCGUGGGGAGCGAACAGG
rnacentral:rRNA from 1 species